rnacentral:rRNA from 1 species
AUGGUGUUCAAGGGCGCGCUGUUGUUCUUGGUCGUCUGCGCGGCUGCUCGAGCUGCUUCAGCCGGCGAUGGCCCGCUGCCGAACGGCAACUUCGAGGACUCGCCGGACAGGUUCCAAAUGGACGGCUCGAGGGUGACGGGGGCGAACGCCAUCCCACAGUGGAAGAUCACCGGGCACGUGGAGUACAUCGAGUCCGGGCAGAAGGAGGGCGACAUGAUCCUGACGGUGCCGGAGGGCUCGCACGCCGUGCGGCUGGGCGAGGAUGGCUCCAUCCACCAGCAGCUCAGCGUGGCGCCGGGCAUGCAGUACUCCGUCACCUUCAGCGCGGCGCGCACAUGCGCCCAGUACGAGAAGCUGACCGUGUCGGUCGUCCCCGGCGACGCGUCCGACGAGAUCUCCAUCCAGACGGUGUACACCAGCAGCGGCUGGGACUCCUACUGCUGGGCUUUCCAGGCCACGAACGACGUCAUGACGCUCACCAUCCAUAACCCCGUCCACGAGGACGACCCCGCCUGCGGCCCCAUGAUCGACUCCGUCGCCAUCAAGACGCUCUACCCUCCUCAGGCCACCGGCGAUAACCUGCUGAGGAACGGGGACUUCGAGCAGGGGCCGUACAUCGCGCCGGGAUCACCAUUUGGUGUGCUGGUGCCGCAGAGGGACGAAAACCACAUCUCGCCGAUCUCGGGGUGGAUGAUCAUGUCCUACUCCAAGGUCGUCAAGUACGUGGACUCGCCGCACUACGCGGUGCCGCACGGCUCCUACGCCGUGGAGCUGGUUUCCGGAGGGGAGGCCGCGCUGGUGCAGGAGGUGGAGACCGUGCCGGGGAGCGCGUGCAAGCUGGAGUUCUCGGUCGGGAACUCCGGCAACCGGUGCGAGUCGAGCGACGAACAGCCCAUGCGCGUGCUGGUCUCCACGGCGGGCGGGAGCAAGACCGUGGUGCACCGCUCCGACGGCAACGGCGGGGGCACCACGCGCGCCUCGCUGGAGUUCACGGCGAUCCAUAGCCGGACCAAGGUGGUGUUCUCCGGCUCCAGCUACCACACCAAGUCCGACAGCAGCGGCACCCGCUGCGGGCCCGUCGUCGACGACGCCUCGCUCGUCUGCGUUCCGCCGACGCCUGCCCGCCGGUUGCUUCGCUGA